rnacentral:lncRNA from 1 species
GGAGAACCAGGAGAACAAAGCCUUGGAGGAGGCCGAGAAAACGGAAUUAGAAAGUAAAAAAAGCGGGAAACGAGUCGCCCAGCUCGGGGAACAAAGUAAACAAUCGAUUGCCCCGCUUAUAGUGAAAGCCGCCGGUCCGGAUGACCCCGAUAUCAUAGCAGCUGCGGCAGCACAUGGAUUGACUGUAACGAGUGCCAAAGAACAAGCGGCCAACUUAGGUAUUACUCUUCGUGAAAUGUUAGGCCUUGAUGAGGCGCCAGUGAAGGAGGUAGUAAUUACAUAUGUGAAGAAUGGGCCUCUCGUCGAGCCUGCG